CGACCAGACUCCUACGGGAGGCAGCAGUGGGGAAUAUUGCACAAUGGGCGAAAGCCUGAUGCAGCGACGCCGCGUGGGUGAAGGAGCGUUUCGGCGCGUAAAGCCCUAUCGGCAGGGAAGAAGAUGACGGUACCUGACCAAGAAGCCCCGGCUAACUACGUGCCAGCAGCCGCGGUAAUACGUAGGGGGCAAGCGUUGUUCGGAAUGACUGGGCGUAAAGGGUGCGUAGGCGGUGUAGCAAGUUAGAAGUGAAAUACCUAGAGCUUAACUCAGGUGCUGCUUCUAAAACUGCUAUACUUGAGUGCAGUAGAGGAAAGUGGAAUUCCUAGUGUAGCGGUGGAAUGCGUAGAUAUUAGGAGGAACAUCAGUGGCGAAGGCGACUUUCUGGACUGUAACUGACGCUGAGGCACGAAAGUGUGGGGAGCAAACAGGAUUAGAUACCCGUGUAGA
rnacentral:rRNA from 1 species